rnacentral:rRNA from 1 species
GACGAACGCUGGCGGCGUGCUUAACACAUGCAAGUCGAGCGGAAAGGCCCUGUUUUUGUGCGGUGCUCGAGUGCCGAACGGGUGAGGAACACGAGAGUAUACUGCCCCUGACUUUGGGAUAACUUCAGGAAACUGGGGCGAAUAUCGGAUAGGAACUCCUGCAGCAUGGUGGGGGUUGGAAAGAUUCGGCGGUUGGGGAUGGACGCGCGGCGUAUCAACUUGUUGGUUGGGUGGUGGGUUACCGAGGUCUUGACGGGUAGGCCGCCUGGGAGGGUGAACGGCCACAGUGGAACUGGGAUCCGGCCCAAGCUGCUACGGGUGGCAGCCGUGGGGAGUGUUGCACAAACGGCGGAGGAGUGAUGAAGCAGCGCGGCGUGUGGGAUGACGGCCUUCGGGAUGUAAGCCGCUUUCGCGUGAGAGGAAGCGUGAUGGACGGUAAUUAGUAAAAAGGCACCGGCAAACUACGU